UCUCUCCCACCCUACCCGAUCCAUACUUGCCUUUCUCCCUCUCUUUCUCUCUCUCUCUCAUGCUCUCUGCUAGGACCGAACGGCUGCCCUCCGAUGGUCGCCGCCGUGUGCAGACACCAGAUCAGGAGUACCAGACACCGCCAAAACUCCAGCCUUGCGAGCCCUUCGUUGCCCUCCAGGCUCGUAUGUCGCCAUCGUGGCUUCAAGGCCAAUUUAUGUCCUCCUCUGACAUCGUCUCAGACGAAGGGUAGCAUGGGUGAACUCAGGGUAUCAAGAAGAACAAAGCCCAACCAAGGAUCGGGCCUUUAAGUGACCAGAGGAGACAUAAUCAGCUCUCCAUUUCCAAGAACGAAGUCGGUACCCCUUGCAAAAGUUGGAGGAUUAUAUAAUACCUAGAGGGCUUCUCUACAAUGCAUUUUCCACAUACAAGCGUGGACCAACGAAGGACUAUUCCAAAUUUUAUAACAAAGAUGGAGGCUCUUGUAAUAUUUAAUUGCUAAUAUUCAUCAUUUAUAACUUGUAUGCUCUGGUUGGGAUUCUUGUUUUAGAAUUAGAGUUUUGCUUAAAAUAGUCUUUCAAAUGAGUGUAUGGUGUAUUAACUGGCAGGCGUAUCUUUUUUUUCCGUCUUUGUUGUGGCAUAGAUGUGGCUUGUGUGAAACUAUAAAUACUGAGAAUGUUGACUAUCUCAACAUUUAUAAAUAUUGAGAAUGUGUGAAGCUAUAGUACUACUAUCCAGUCCUUUUGAAUUUGUCAUGAAUUUCAAUGAAGUUUGUUCUGUUCUCA